UACGUAGGGUGCGAGCGUUAAUCGGAAUUACUGGGCGUAAAGCGUGCGUAGGUGGUUCGUUGUGUCUGUGGUGAAAGCCCCGGGCUUAACCUGGGAAUGGCCAUGGAACUGGCGAGCUGGAGUCUGGCAGAGGGGGGUGGAAUUCCGCGUGUAGCAGUGAAAUGCGUAGAGAUGCGGAGGAACACCGAUGGCGAAGGCAGCCCCCUGGGCUAAGACUGACGCUGAGACGGCGAAAAGCGUGGGGAGCGAACAGG
rnacentral:rRNA from 1 species